UAAUGAAGAUGUAUCGUGUCCAAAGAGACGGAGCGGUCUGGUAAGUAGGGGAACGCCGCCGUCGACCCGCACACUCCCUAGCGGUACCCUAUCCGAACUCAAGAAGCUCCUUCGGCUUAGUCCGAACUAAGGAUACCAGCUACGGUCCCUAGAGAACCCCCCUCUACACCGACAACACGUUAGGCAGCAACGAAGUUAGGUAUUUCGUAGGGUGUUGACACACACGUUUUACCCGAUUUUUGAUGUCCUAAUCCUAACCGUUUCACAAUCUACUCUGCCUUUCGUUAGGUUCAGCUCAAGGACGCGAGCUCCGAAGCUACGCACGAAUACGUCUGUUCUUUCAACCACACGAUUUUCGGCCAACUUGCAAGUAGUCUUUUUUACGUAGGUCCUUUAACACACGUACACACGCCCAUUUGGUAACGUUAGUUUAUCGGCAAGGUGUGAAACACCGAAGUGACGGUACUACUCCCAGGAAUCUAUUCUACCAUUCCCUAAUUCCCGACCAUGCAAACGUUUGUGUCCCGUCUCGUGUUGGUCUGAAAGACAGUUGAUAUACCUCUUUAAUGUGACCUUCAGAGUAGCCGUGUAUCUAUCUAUGUGUUCCCUGGAACACUUUGUCGGCUCCCUUUUUACAUUCGUAUUUGUUCCAAAUGUCACAGCAACCGUCAAAAAAACCAAGUCAUUUUCUCCGCGGUAAGUGGUUUUCCAGAGACUUCUUCGAAUUGGUUCUCGUUAGUCCUUUACUACGUUGUUUCUGGUAUCUCCACAAGUUGCGCUACUCCCCACUUCUAGGACUAAAGUGUAUGUCACAUGUCCAAUUGCUCCACCCAGCUCACUUUUUAGACUACACCUGUUACCCUUUUUAGGUUGUGUUUUCACCUCCGGUUUUAGGUCGUGUCUCACGGAGCGUUACAAGACUAACAAAACGUCGUGGCUGUUUCUUUUCCGUCGACCUACGGGAUCGUGUUCAGCGCCGUUUCGUGGUAUACUCGUUGGUUUUUUCUCCAGAUCCAAGACAAGAUAGACGUCUCCAAUUCCAGUGUUCUCGUGGUGAAAAGGCGUUGCUCCUCUAGAAGGUUUCCGCGGCUCCUUCAGCGGAGCUACGAGGUCUACGUCGACCACUCCAGUGCCCUUCUUGUGAACGUGGUUGGGCGGGUUUCGUCUGAAACCUCUGACUAAAAUCUUACCGAGCAUAAACUUUUAAGUCUAACGAUUGACUUGUUUAGGCGACACAUAGCUCAAACGUGAUAUUACGAAGAAACCCACACUAAACUAAAGGAACAACACAGCAUCAACAGCUCAGGAACUAAUUUAGGACAUUAUGUGACUUUAACACCACAACGAUACUCGUCCACUGCAAAUCAAACUGGAAAAGUCAAACCUUUAGACGGUCUGGAACAAAGACUUAUUAUAACAGCAG
rnacentral:rRNA from 1 species